rnacentral:rRNA from 1 species
UGGGGAAUUUUGGACAAUGGGCGAAAGCCUGAUCCAGCAAUGCCGCGUGUGUGAAGAAGGCCUUCGGGUUGUAAAGCACUUUUGUCCGGAAAGAAAUCCUUGGCUCUAAUACAGUCGGGGGAUGACGGUACCGGAAGAAUAAGCACCGGCUAACUACGUGCCAGCAGCCGCGGUAAUACGUAGGGUGCAAGCGUUAAUCGGAAUUACUGGGCGUAAAGCGUGCGCAGGCGGUUUGCUAAGACCGAUGUGAAAUCCCCGGGCUCAACCUGGGAACUGCAUUGGUGACUGGCAGGCUAGAGUAUGGCAGAGGGGGGUAGAAUUCCACGUGUAGCAGUGAAAUGCGUAGAGAUGUGGAGGAAUACCGAUGGCGAAGGCAGCCCCCUGGGCCAAUACUGACGCUCAUGCACGAAAGCGUGGGGAGCAAACAGGAUUAGAUACCCUGGUAGUCCACGCCCUAAACGAUGUCAACCAGUUGUUGGGGAUUCAUUUCCUUAGUAACGUAGCUAACGCGUGAAGUUGACCGCCUGGGGAGUACGGUCGCAAGAUUAAAACUCAAAUGAAUUGACGGGGUCAUAGCU